UCACAAUACUUUAUUGAUCCCAUCAGUGAAAUUAUUUAGUUGCAGUUGCUCACAGUCAAAUUCAAGGUAAAAUAAGAGUAUCAAAAGAGAGA